CGAGGAAUUUUGCGCAAUGGGCGAAAGCCUGACGCAGCAACGCCGCGUGGGUGAGGAAGGCCUUCGGGUCGUAAAGCCCUUUUGUCGGGGACGAAGUGGUGACGGUACCCGACGAAGAAGCCACGGCUAACUACGUGCCAGCAGCCGCGGUAAUACGUAGGUGGCGAGCGUUGUCCGGAUUUAUUGGGCGUAAAGGGCGCGCAGGUGGUGCGGUAAGUCUGUCGUGAAAUCUCCCGGCUCAACUGGGAGGGUGCGGUGGAGACUGCCGGACUAGAGGCACUCAGAGGCCGGUGGAAUUCCCGGUGUAGUGGUGAAAUGCGUAGAGAUCGGGAGGAACACCAGUGGCGAAGGCGGCCGGCUGGGGGUGACCUGACGCUGAGGCGCGAAAGCGUGGGGAGCGAACCGGAUUAGAUACCCCCGUAGUCC
rnacentral:rRNA from 1 species